UACGUAGGGUGCAAGCGUUAAUCGGAAUUACUGGGCGUAAAGCGUGCGCAGGCGGUUCGCUAAGACAGAUGUGAAAUCCCCGGGCUUAACCUGGGAACUGCAUUUGUGACUGGCGGGCUAGAGUAUGGCAGAGGGGGGGUAGAAUUCCACGUGUAGCAGUGAAAAUGCGUAGAGAUGUGGAGGAAUACCGAUGGCGAAGGCAGCCCCCCUGGGCCAAUACUGACGCUCAUGCACGAAAAGCGUGGGGGAGCAAACAGG
rnacentral:rRNA from 1 species